AGGUUGGAAACACUUCUUUUGUUCUAUCUUUGAAGGGACAUUUGGGAGCCCAUUGAGGCUUAUAGUGAAAAACUGAACAUCCUGCAAUAAAAAAUGUUGGAAACACUCUUUUUAUAGAAUCUGCAUGGGGACAUUUGGGAGCCCAUUGAGGCCAAUACUGAAAAACCGAAUAUAUCACGAUGAAAACUAAAAGGAAUCUAUAUGUGAAAAUGCUUUGUGAUGUGUGGAUUCAUCUCACAGAAUUAAACCUUUCUUUUGAUUCAGCAGGCUGGAAACACUCUUUUCGUAGAAUCUGUGCAGGAGCAUUUGGGAGCCCAUUGAGAUGUAUAGUGAAAAACUAAAUAUCCCACAAUAAAAAUUAAAAAGAA